rnacentral:rRNA from 1 species
GAUGAACGCUGGCGGCGUGCCUAAUACAUGCAAGUAGAACGCUGAAGGAGGAGCUUGCUCUUCUGGAUGAGUUGCGAACGGGUGAGUAACGCGUAGGUAACCUGCCUGGUAGCGGGGGAUAACUAUUGGAAACGAUAGCUAAUACCGCAUGACAACAGUUAUUGCAUGAUAACUGUUUAAAAGGGGCAACUGCUCCACUACCAGAUGGACCUGCGUUGUAUUAGCUAGUUGGUGAGGUAACGGCUCACCAAGGCGACGAUACAUAGCCGACCUGAGAGGGGGAUCGGCCACACUGGGACUGAGACACGGCCCAGACGCCUACGGGAGGCAGCAGGAGGGAAUCUUCGGCAAGGGACGGAAGUCUGACCGAGCAACGCCGCGUGAGUGAAGAAGGUUGUCGGAUCGUAAAGCUCUGUUGUAAGAGAAGAACGAGUGUGAGAGUGGAAAGUUCACACUGUGACGGUAUCUUACCAGAAAGGGACGGCUAACUACGUG